rnacentral:rRNA from 1 species
GAUGAACGCUGGCGGCGUGCUUAACACAUGCAAGUCGAACGAUUAACCCACCUUCGGGUGGUUAUAGAGUGGCGAACGGGUGAGUAACACGUGACCAACCUACCUCUUACUUUGGGAUAACUCAGAGAAAUUUGAGCUAAUACCAAAUACUCCUUCUCUCUCGCAUGAGAGAGUCGGGAAAGUUCCGGCGGUAAGAGAUGGGGUCGCGGCCUAUUAGGUAGUUGGUGAGGUAACGGCCCACCAAGCCGAUGAUAGGUAGCCGGGUUGAGAGACUGAUCGGCCACAUUGGGACUGAGAUACGGCCCAGACUCCUACGGGAGGCAGCAGUGGGGAAUUUUGCGCAAUGGGGGAAACCCUGACGCAGCAACGCCGCGUGCGGGAUGACGGCCUUCGGGUUGUAAACCGCUUUCAGCAGGGAAGAAAUUGACGGUACCUGCAGAAGAAGCUCCGGCUAACUACGUGCCAGCCGCCGCCGUAACAC